AAGUCGUAACAAGGUUUCCGUAGGUGAACCUGCGGAGGGAUCAUUACACAAUAAAAUACGAAGGCCGUUCGCGGCUGGACUAUUUAUUACCCUUGUCUUUUGCGCACUUGUUGUUUCCUGGGCGGGUUCGCUCGCCACCAGGACCACAAUAUAAACCUUUUUUAUGCAGUUGCAAUCAGCGUCAGUAUAACAAAUGUAAAUCAUUUACAACUUUCAACAACGGAUCUCUUGGUUCUG
rnacentral:misc_RNA from 1 species